UGCCAUUCUACUAAAUUUCCUCUCACAUCUUCUAUACAGCCCCCUCCCACAUACACAGGACAGAAGUGGAACAAGUGGAGAAGAAAAUGAUGAGAGUAAUGCCGAGGGAAGACAGCAGUGUGUUUAACAUCACAAGAUCAGAGGGAGCCCAGAAGCAGAACCUAGAAAAAUCCUUUCACAGCAUGCAAUAUAGAACAAAAAUCCCCAGAAAACUCAAAUACUACUAUUAUCAUGUUUCAAAACAAGAAAGCUAAGAAAGGUGACAAAAGGACCCAAGAA
rnacentral:lncRNA from 1 species